UACAGGGGGGGCAAGCGUUGUUCGGAAUUACUGGGCGUAAAGGGCUCGUAGGUGGCCAACUAAGUCGGACGUGAAAUCCCUCAGCUUAACUGGGGAACUGCAUCCGUAUACUGGAUGGCUUGAGUUUGGGAGAGGGAUGCGGAAUUCCAGGUGUAGCGGUGAAAUGCGUAGAUAUCUGGAGGAACACCGGUGGCGAAGGCGGCAUCCUGGACCAACACUGGACACUGAGGAGCGAAAGCCAGGGGAGCAAACGGG
rnacentral:rRNA from 1 species